GCCGGAGUGGCGGAACUGGUAGACGCAAGGGACUUAAAAUCCCUCGGGUCUCUGACCCGUGCCGGUUCAAAUCCGGCCUCCGGCACCA
rnacentral:tRNA from 1 species